UUAUGUCUUUGGGAUCUGGACUGGAAAUUAAACACUCAACUAAGAAACACGGAUGUUAUUACACCAUUAAUUCUUCCUUCAUGACUGUAAAAGUUUAGCAUAGGUGUUUAAUCAUUGUACUUCUAGUAGCAUAAAGAGGACAGCUGUAUACUCCCUAACCUUAAGCCUGCCUAACUUAGUUACAGCAAUGGAUUCUCCGGAGCUCCAACCAGAUUCACUCUACAAAGCUAAAUAUGCAUAUUCCAGCUGGCCAGACUAUUGGAUGCUGACAGUACAAAGCUGAAUCUAUUUCUGGGCAUUGCCCUCGGUUGUAGGAACUUCCAAGUUCAAGAUUACACCUCCACAAAGGAAGCUGAUACAGGGAAACAAAGGCCUUGUUCCUGUGAACAGCUGUCUCAGCUCAAGAGUGUAUCGUGGAUUGACUGGGGCCUCAGUUGAGACCACAUUGCAGCACACACAGAUGGCAACUAGAAUAAGCUAACCAAAAACAUGCAGACAACGAAUAUUAUGAUAAUUGAUGAGCAAGUAACCUACAGACUCCAACAUGGGAAAACGGAAAUACCAACAACAUGUAUUAGAUCUGCAGAGAAAAAGACAACAGGGCUUACCAUGGCAAUGGAAACAGACAAACACUAAAGUUAACAGCAAGUAUUCACUGCAAAGUAUGAAUGGACAGCUAAGAAGAGCAAUCAAAACUUGGAGGGAGCUCUAAAGUGUCCAAUUCAGAUCGCUACAGAGAACUUUAUACUGGAGCAAUACACGUUCUGUGGAAUCUCAAAAUUUACUAAUGAAAACUUCAUUCCAGGAGGAAGAGAAAUUGAGGAGAAGCUUUUGGAGAUAGAACUCACAUUGAAAAAGAAGUAAAUAAAAAGCAAGAUCCAAAUAUAACCAAAAACGGAAGCAGAAAGAGCAGAUGUCAGAAAACAUGAAGCCAUAUUUUUAUCUCUUUGGGAAAACAACAGAAAUGAGAUCUCCAGAGAAAUAAAGCUGUAAAAGUUAUCCUGAAUGCAUCUCUCUCUUUAAAGUCACAGAAUACUUUCAUAUAAUUAAAAAAAAAAAAACCCAGAAAGGCAUGUUUUCAAAAUGAAGCAAAAGAAAUUAAGAGACGACAGACUCUAAGAAAAGAUAACAAUAAAGCAUAAUUAGAAAAUACUCAAAAAUCAGGGUGAUUAAGUAAAGAAUGACUGGAAAAUAGAAGUGAUAAAAUUCAGCAAAGUUAUUUUUCAACUAUCAUUUCAGAAAUGGGUAUUUAACAGAAAGAAUGCAAGAUAACAUAACAGAUCAUGACUUGUGUCAAAAUUAUUUAAAAGAAAAAAUUAAAUUGGAAACAAAAGGAUUCACGAGAAAAGUAGUAGAUAUUUUCAGUGAAAAGAGUCAAACUGUAAAAUAUUUGAAGAAAUUUUUCCUGAACCAAAUAUGAGGACCAUGACCUAUAACACAGUACCGAGGGAUCCUGUGACCAGGUGCCCAAGGUGGUCAGGCUACAGCUUGGUUUUAUACGUUUUAGGAAGACACAAGACAUCAAUCAAUACAUGUAAGAGCCAUUUCAAUCAAGAAUUCAUGCAAAAUCAGCCUCCUCCAGGGAACUGUGCUGUCCAGGCCUGUACCCUGCUGAAGUGGGAAAGGCCGUUCUCCCCAUCCGAGGCUCACCUCUGGUGGAAUCAAAUGACCCAGUACCAGGCACUGCUCCUGGGCAGGAGGGGCAGUGAUAAAUGUUUGCUUUCGUGAGAGGAAAAUAAAGUCUUGGGACCCCAACUCACUAUGCAAAAAGGAAAAAAUUAAGCUGAAAGCUGAGUCAUGUCAAACAGCUGAUAAUGUGUGGAAGAGGCACUGCAUUCCAAGAUUACCGUGAGCAAGGGAUUUGGAAUCCAAUAGAAGAAGUUUGCGUCACUGAGAUAUCAAGUCAAACAGGUCCAUGUACAAAAUACACAUCAGUAAAUGAGUGUUCAUUAAAAGAGAUUGAUUGGCAGAUACAAUUGGAUUCUAGAUGUCUUCACUGAAUAUGGGAUAUAAACCAAUACUUUUGAAAUGUACUGAAGUAGAGACAGAGAACAGGUGAAAAAUCAAAGAUCAGCCAACACAGAGAAAGAGACUGGUGGACAGCACACAGCUCCAUUGAGACAGGGACCAGC